rnacentral:rRNA from 1 species
AUUGAACGCUGGCGGCAGGCUUAACACAUGCAAGUCGAACGAGCGGCGGACGGGUGAGUAAUGUCUGGGAAACUGCCUGAUGGAGGGGGAUAACUACUGGAAACGGUAGCUAAUACCGCAUACCAUCAGAUGUGCCCAGAUGGGAUUAGCUAGUUGGUGGGGUAAUGGCUCACCAAGGCGACGAUCCCUAGCUGGUCUGAGAGGAUGACCCGCCCACCUGGAAAUGAGAAACGGUCCAGAACCCUAAGGGAGGCAGGAGUGGGGAAAAUUGCAAAAAGGGGGCAAGGCGGAGGCAGGCAUUGCGGGUGUUAGAAGAAGGGCUUUGGGUUUGUAAGGUAUUUUAGGGAGGAAGCGUUUCUCGCAGAAGAAGGAACGGCUAAAUCCCUGCCAACAGCCGCGGGAAUAC